rnacentral:lncRNA from 1 species
CCCGAUGCCGUGACUCACAUUUGUGAAUAAAUCAGCGGACAAUUGUUCUAGUCGCGCGUAAUGUCGAACGAUCUAUCUAAAAAAAAAUGGGUGCAACACGAGGACUUCCUAGGAGGUCAACACUACUUUUCGUUUUUUGCUAUUCUACUUUGUAAUAUGCUCGCAUACACUCUUAUCACGUGAUGAACUUUAAUUGAAUGCACGAAAAAUAU